GGCUCCAUGGUCAAGUGGCUAAGACGUCGCGUUCUCAGCGCGGAAUCAUGGGUUCGAUCCCCAUUGGAGCUACUA
rnacentral:tRNA from 2 species